UGAAAAUUCACAAUCUCUUUGUUAGACUCUCUCUUUCUCUCUAACGACGGGCCGAAAUCCCUCUCUGCAACAGUGGAUUUGUAUUCGAGACGAAAACUUCCUUCAAACGCCGACGGUGAGGAGAACGGGGAAGACGACGACAUCACAGUAUUUGAAAUAGCUCCUUCAGGUUGAGAUCUGAAACGAUUUUUAUAUCCAUUUUUGGUAUUAUUUUAACAAAGCAGAUUAUUCAAAACUUAUAUAGAAAAACAAAAUUACAAUAAAGCAUUUUAGUUAAUUGAAUAUUGAAAAAGUUUGAAAGGCAUUUUUCUUUGGUCUGUGCGGAAUUAUUUUAAUUUCUGCGAAUAGUUGACGGUCUACAAUUUUUUAUUUUUUUUUCCUUGCGAGAUCUAUAAUGUUCUUUUCAGUGGCAAUAAUUUAAUGUCUUGGUCAUAUGAUGAUUGUAUAUUCUUGCAUAUUCGCGUUUUGGGGUAAAUUAUUUCUAAUAAUAUUUGAACAUUUUCUAUCAAUUACUCUGAUUCUUAUAACAAAAUUACGACACUGAAUAGUUUUGUUUUUAUAUAUCUUUUGAAGUCUAGUGAGGACUUUGGUCCAUUAACGUUGAUUUGCUUGUGCAUAUCUCUUAUGUGUCGUGAUUUAAUAGCAAAAGCAUAUCCUUUGUGCUACUUCAUGUCUUCCUCAUUGUAUUUAUGCCGAGUUGAGCAAAUUUUAGAUUUAUUUAUUGAAUUUGUAUAAAAGAAAAGUUUAUAUGAGAAAAGUAAAUUUGUGUCCAGUGUUUGAAUUGAUAUUAAGGCAGUUCUCUCCUCGUAUCAUUUGAAUAUCAUCCUUACUUGGUUUGCUCGGUGUUAAUGUAUCUCGAGUUUAAAUGAUUUAUUUUUCAUAAUCUGAACACUGAAGAAAAAUAUAAUGUAGUACUUGCAGUCAUCUACACCAAAGUUCCACUUCAAUUUAGAUUGCAAACACCCCAGUUAGAUAGAAUUUUUUUGACAUUUUGUUUAUUUACCUUUCCAUUUGGCCCUUCUUUCGCUAUAGAAACCAAAUGAUGUGAUAUCUAUUUGCAUUCACCUCAAUUAAUGUGUUGUAUGUAUAGUUAGAAUGAACUUUCAAAACUUCAAAUGUAAAGAGAAUAAAAGGUUAAUUUAAGGCACUAUGUAAUUUGCUUUUUGCACAUCUUUCAUGUGUUAUAGUUACUUUUAUUUCAACAAGCAUAUAUAGUAUGUACAUUUCAUUUUUUGGCACUUGAUUAAAUUUUUUAAUGUCUCUGUUCUUUACUCAGAUUCAAUAUUUUUGUCACUUGAUUAAUUGUUUUUAUUGGAUUAGGAUUGUUAUAUGGGUGGCCAAAACAGGGGAUUAUGUCAUUCUUGCAGGAUUGCGGGACACAUGUUGCCGGAAUGUCCAAAAAAGAUUAAAUGUCCAAACUGUGGCGAGGGCUUUGUUAGGUGGCUGGAGGUAGAAAAGAAUUCGGAUAAUAAAGGGUUGUUGUUCCAUAGUUGUACCUGCAACUGUCGGCUUUUCAAGUUUUCUAACAUUGCGCCGUAUAAAGAGUAUUCAUUGCAAGGUGAAUCAAGUGGCACUACCAACAGAAGUGAACCGGUAGACGAUUUGUCCCGUAUGUUGACGAUGUGUGCAAAAAUAACCGAGGACAGAAACUUAGAGAUUUCAUUCAACAUCACCAUACGCAAAGGGAAACGAGUUUUCGGAAGAUGUAGAAUGAAAUAUAUGUAAUUGAGUAGCUUCGAGUUAUUGUAAUUAAAAUUGCAGUGAUGGCUGUCUUUGGAGCACAUUUUCUGUGAAGUUGUCUUGAUGUAUGUAGUGAACUAUUACAAGUGUUGUCAAUCAAAUUCCAUGUUGCAG
rnacentral:lncRNA from 1 species